rnacentral:sRNA from 1 species
GCUCUUUGAGAUCCACAGAGAUUAACAUUUAAACAACUUUGGAGCUAAUUGCUUACCUAAUUUCUUUUGAUUGUCAUAACUGUUUCUAGUACAAAGAAAGUCCCUUCAAAGUUACAUAGCUUGCUAUUACCUGUUCUUUUGCUCCCCCCUUGAUUUGAGGAUUAGGCAAUUGACUGAUUUCUGGUGAAAUCAGAACAUGAGCAUGAGACAGAGGCUGGGAAAUUCCAGAGUAUUAAUAGUGAAAGAGAAACUUAUGGUGAGUCACUUAUGGUGGUGUUGCUGGGCCCCAGGGUUACUUGUUCCCUGUUCUUUCUCUGCCUCACCCUCCAUUCCUUCUGAUGUGUUUACAGUACAUGGACUGGACCUGCCUGGAGCCCAGCCCAGAGCAUCUCGUCCGUGCUCAUCUCUAUCCAGUCCCUGAUGACUGAGAACCCCUAUCACAAUGAGCCCGGCUUUGAACAGGAGAGACAUCCAGGAGACAGCAAAAACUAUAAUGAAUGUAUCCGGCACGAGACCAUCAGAGUUGCAGUCUGUGACAUGAUGGAAGGAAAGUGUCCCUGUCCUGAACCCCUACGAGGGGUGAUGGAGAAGUCCUUUCUGGAGUAUUAUGACUUCUAUGAGGUGGCCUGCAAAGAUCGCCUGCACCUUCAAGGCCAAACUAUGCAGGACCCUUUUGGAGAGAAGCGGGGCCACUUUGACUACCAGUCCCUCUUGAUGCGCCUGGGACUGAUACGUCAGAAAGUGCUGGAGAGGCUCCAUAAUGAGAAUGCAGAAAUGGACUCUGAUAGCAGCUCAUCUGGGACAGAGACAGACCUUCAUGGGAGCCUGAGGGUUUAGACCCUGCUCCCAUCUCCCCUUU